AGUAGCUCUUGCGGCGAGGCUGGCCGAGCGGACUACAGUUCCCAGAGGCCCUGAAGGUGGGGGAGGAGGCGGGCGCUGUGCAAGGGAGGCUGGGCGCCGCUACCCUAGCGGGGGACCUCUGCCGGGCGCGGCUAGCGGUCUUUUCUGCUGUGGUGGCAGCGACGACUGCGGGAGACGGGAGACGCAGGGUCGGAAAUGCGUGGUGGGCUGGGUCCGGCCUUGAGCCAGAGUCCGCUGGGCCUGAGGCGUCCGAGUCAGCCGUGGAGGAAAACGAAGAUGACAUCCAGUUUGUGAGUGUAAGUAGCAGCGGUGUUUGGGUUUUCCCGAGUCAGAGAUUGUGCGGGACAAGCCACGAUGUGAUUUCCCCUCGCCUGUUCACUCAUCGUCCAGCAAACGUGUGGACGUCUCAUACCGACUGGACACUGUGGAGCAGGGCACAGGAGUGGGUAUCAGACUGGACACCGUGGAGCAGGACACAGGAGCGGGUAUCAGAGUGGACACCGUGGAGCAGGACACAGGAGCGGGUACCAGUGGACACCGUGGAGCAGGACACAGGAGCGGGUAUCAGUGGACACCGUGGAGCAGGGCACAGGAGUGGGUAUCAGAGUGGACACCAUGGAGCAGGACACAGGAGUGGGUAUCAAACUGGACACCGUGGAGCAGGACACAGGAGUGGGUAUCAAACUGGACAACGUGGAGCAGGGCACAGGAGUGGGUACCAGAGUGGACACCGUGGAGCAGGGCACAGGAGUGAAAGGUUGUUUUUGAAUCACGCAAAGACGCUGGGAUUCUUGGCCCCUGGAGGAGAAGAAUUCAAUCCAGGGCCAGAAACGAGGCUUGAUCGCUCAGAGCUUUUGUGUAAUAGUUUUAUUAAAGUAUAAAGGAGAUAGAGAAAGCUUCUGACAUAGGCAUCAAAAGAUGGCAGAAAGAGUACCCCCCUGCUAGUCUUCAGCUGGAUGUUAUAUACAUACAACAUACUUUUGUAUGUAUGUGAAGUCCCUCAGUGGUGUCUGACUCUUUGUGACCCCGUGGACUGUAGCCUACCAGUCUCCUUUGUCCAUGGGAUUCUCUAGGCAAGAGUACUGGAGUGGGUUGCCAUUUCCUUCUCCAGGGGAUCUUCCGGACCCAGGGAUUGAACCCUGGUCUCCCGCAUUGCAGGCAGACUGCUUUAAUCUCUGAGCCACCAGGGCAGCUAGCAGUCACUAGCAGUCUGUUAAUAAAAGAAAGAAAUGUCUUAAAACUCAGAAUGGCACCAGGCCCCUCACCCAUAAGAUGCAUUUUGGGAUAAUCUUGGCACCAAAUGAUUCAUCCUGGGCCAUAAAAUGAUUAACUUGAAUCUUGAAGAAGGGCAGAUUACCAUACAAAUAGUUUCAUUUACAUAGAUUAGGGGAACAAUAUCUGAGUAUAACAAACUGGUUUUUCAAGUAAGUUCUGAGCCGAGAGGCAGAACCGACUUGAAGACAGAGUUUGGGGUAAAUGCAUACUACAUUAGCAUAGCUUAAGACAAACAUUUCCAUAAGAAAAAGGCAUUGGUUGUUUCUAGGUUUGAAAAUAGUUAACUUCAGGUGAAACCAGGUGUUAUGGCAACACAGUAUUUGAAGAGAAACCUCCUUUUAAAUUUGUAUAGAGAAGGAAAAAAUAUCCGUAGUUUGUUUCCUCCUGCCGCUUAAGAGAGAUAAAAAUGUCUGACACUUGCCGGCUAUUUCCUUCAUUUGGAGACCCCUGGCCUUCCUGCCUGUUACCCUCUCAGGAGUAGGUAUCAGAGUGGACACCGUGGAGCAGGACACAGGAGCAGGUAUCAGAGUGGACACCGUGGAGCAGGACACAGGAGUGGGUAUCAGACUGGACACUAUGGAGCAGGACACAGGAGUAGAGCGGUUGCCCAGAGAGAGGUCUCGGCCGCCCCCUUAGCCAUCCCAGAGACUGUGGCCUGCGGGCCUGUUGGAGCCUGGAUCACGCCUCCUCCUCUCCUUUGCACAUGGAGCCGCUGGUGUGCGCAGGGUUCUGGUCUCCUAAGACUGUGUUUGAAUUGAGACCAGAGUAACUUCUGCAAGAUGGCCCCCAGGUUAGGGAGAAGGGGCGGCUAGUGAGGGGGAAGGAGGCGGGCUGCAGGAGGUCAGCAUCAGAGCCUGUAUGUCUCUGUAGAGUGGGGGCAGGUGCCCUGAAGACCUCACUGAGCUCUGAGGUCACCCUGUUACAUCACAGUCCCGCAGGCCAGGUUCACAGUGAGGGGCCUGCAUCACAGGAGCAUCCUGUAUCUUUCUGUGUUUAUCCCCUUCUGACAGUUUUCAAGCAUGAGGGAGUGGAAGUGUGCAGAAUCCUGCUCCCCGCUGCAGACCUAUGGAAUGAGGAUUUGAUGGUGGGGCUUGGGAACCCUAAUGUUGGUGCAGGGGUAUGCUGCUGCUACUGCUAAGUCGCUUCAGUCGUGUCUGUGCGACCCCACAGACGGCCUCCUACCGGGCCCCUCUGUCCCUGGGAUUCUCCAGGCAAGAACACUGGAGUGGGUUGCCAUUUCCUUCUCCAAUGCGUGAAAGUGAAGUUGCUCAGUCGUGUCCGACUCUUAGCAACCCCACGGACUGCAGCCUACCAGCUCCGCCGUCCAUGGGAUUUUCCAGGCAAGAGUACUGGAGUGGGGUGCCAAUAUAUAGCUCUGAACACAGUAAAACAUUGGUUGCAAUAACCGAAUGGGGUAUUGUGAUAUAUUUCAGGAUAAUUUCCAUCCCAAACUGUUAAGUUUUACAAAGUCUCUGCUUAAAGUAGUAUCUCAAUUAGCUGGAGAAUGUGUCUACUGUGAACUACUCUUUUUGAAUAUAGUUAGUUGAGGUUUGCUAUUAGAAGUAUAGUCUUUCUUUAACUGGGUUCCUGUUGACCGAGAAACACAAUGUUUGUGUGUUUCUUAGUUGCUGUAGGCUUAGGGCACUCAUGUAAAUGACUUGGUUUUAAAUCAAACAAAAUUCCCUCCCGAAGGAUUGUGGUAACUUUGUUUUUGUUGUUUUCUUAGGGUUAUAUAGAAAUUCUUUACCAGAUCAUUUCUUUGAUGUUCUUCCCCAAAAUUGUUCAUAUGAUACUCUCUUCUUGACACUUGGAGUUUUGAGGUACCAAGAACUGUAUGCUGACUUCACCUCCCCAUACAGUGAGGAAUAAAUGAUGCAGCUAUGGAAACUGAAGAGCCAUGAUGUCUGUUUUCAUACUGAAAAACAUUAGGCAAGAGGACUGCAGGGGUCAUUAGGAAAAAUAGUUUAGAUUCUGACUGUGGUGUAAAGACAAUGAAUAGGACAUGAUAACUUUGAUGGUGUUUUGUGCACCUCUAGAUAUGCGUAAUGUAAGUGUUUAUGAUAUGUGUUUUACUUUGAGAAAUACAGUAAAAUUCUAUAAAAUUAAUUUGGAAAAAUAGGUACAAUUUUAGUGUCGUACUCUGAGGUUUAAAUGCAUAAUUAUGUUGUAAAUUCUGACAGUUAAUAUAUCCACUUGUGUUCAGCUGAGGUUUAGAACUCAAUUUAAAUUUACUUUAAAUAUAGAGAAUUUUUUGUAUUUUUGCAUCCAGAGGAGUGUAUAUCCAACCUGAUAGAACCUCUUAUAAAUAGAAAUAGCUUUGUUUACAAAUAGAGGAUUAAAAAUUUGACAGCUCCGUAAGAAGUGAAUUAUAUGCUCUGAGUGGAAUUACAAUAUGAGAAGAAUCUAGUAAAAAUAUUCCUGUUGCAUUUAAAUGGUGGCACAGAAAAAUUAGAAUUCAAUUCUAUUUUAAGCUACAUUCAGAUCAGAAUUUACUUUCCUCUCACCCUAUCCUAUGCUGGGUUCCAUCAGGAUGUGUUUUAUUACUAUAUUUUUUAUAGUACCAUCCAGCAAAGAUGAAAUGCUACUGGGUACAAGUCUCUGCUUGAGUGUUGUCACAUACAAAAAAUUUUUGUGUUCUUUUUAUAUCUUUUAUCAAGAAGAAUGUUACUCCUUGAUGUAUUCUGGUUUACGUUUCUUAGUUUUCUCAUAUAAAUCUAAUUUUCCAGCCAUCAGUUUGCAUUAUGGCAUAGCAUCAUCUCUGUAUAUUGCCAUAUAUAUAAACGCCAAACUAAACACAAUAUUGUUUAUUGAUGCUUUUGAACUGUGGUGUUGGAGAAGACUCUUGAGAGUCCCUUGAACUGCAAGGAGAUCAAACCAGUCAAUCCUAAAGGAAAUCAGUCCUGAAUAUUCAUCGGAAGGACUCAUGCUGAAGCUGAGACUCCUAUACUCAUAGGUGACUCCUAUGGCCACCUGAUGCGAAAAUCUGACUCCUUGGAAAAGAUCCUGAUGCUGGGAAAGAUUGAAGGCAGGAGGAGAAGGGGACAACAGAAGAUGAGAUGGUUGGAUGGCAUCACUGACUUGAUGGACAUGAGUUUGACCAAUUUCUGGGAGCUGGUGAUGGACAGGGAAGCCUGGCGUGCUGUAGUCCAUGGCGUCUCAAAGAGUCAGACACGACUGAGGGACUGAACUGAACUGAAACACAAUAUGCUGAAAGGAAGGAAUGAUGAAAAUUGGGGAGUACAGAGAGCACAGUAUCUUUGGCGUAAUUUUUCUGAAGUCCAGUGUACUACAGAAGAGGCCGCCAGCUGGCUCACUGUUCUCCUUGCCCUCACUCUACAUUAGUACUACAUUACUGUUUGUCUGAAUUGGUUAUCUUGUUAACUAAUCCCCCAUUUCAUACUCUGCUAAUCUCCCUGAAACACAUCUCUAAUGUGGUUCCCAUCUCAACACUACUAAUUUGAUUCCUUUGCCUGUAGAAUAAAAUCUAGGUUUUGACUGGCGUAUUUAAGGCCUUAUUGAUGUUGAAGGUAGUAUGUGUGUUAGGAAAGGAUUGAGGAAAUUUGAUAUUUGAUUUCAUAAAGAGGAUGAAGCCGAACUAUCAAAGAACUCCAUGAUUUUGAGCUUAGAGAUCUAAAAGAUUAUUGAUAACCAUCCCAGUUGUAAAAUACUGUACCAUGAUAUCUGUAUUUUUAACAUUGUCCUUGGACUGUUUCCCUAUUUCCAAGGAAUAUUUGGCUUUUUCCCCCUCUAUGUAUAUUUAGGCUCUUUUCGGUUUUGUCAAUUUGCAUAUUGGUCUUCUCUGAAACUUUACGUCUGCUGCUUCUGUUUCUGAUUAUUUUGUGCCACCUGUGAGGCCUCUUCUUCAUAGGAAUUCUUGUUAAUUCCAACCAAAAAACCCCAGUGACUGUAAAUGUACAUGUGGUUUCAAUGAUUGUUCAUGACUUGUAAGUCUGCUGACUUCCUUUUUAGGAGAGACCAUCAAUACCUGUUCUUGAAUACAUUGAUCUGAUCUGUAGUGAUGAUAAAGAGCCUAGAACCUAUUGUAGUGAUAUAAGUAUGUUUGUGUUUCUUCAGUUCUGUCAUUAAGUGCAAUAUGUUCUGGACAUGGCUUGAACUGGCUUGCAAGAAUCAAUUGUUAAAUUUGAGCUGAUUGUUAAACAUAGAUAUUAUUAAAACUUCAAGUAUAACUCAGCCAUAAAAAAGAAUGAAGUAAUGCCAUUUGCAUCAACAUGGAUAGACCUAGAGAUUAUCAUACUAAGUGAAAUAAGUCAGAAAGACAAGCACAAGACAAGUAUGAUAUUACUUACAUAUGGAAUCUAAAAUACGAUACAAAUGAACUUAUUUACAAGACAGGAAUAGACUUACAGAGAUAGAAAACAAAUUUACAGUUAUGAAAGGCAAAGAGGAGAGAGGAAUGAAUUAGGAGUUUGGAAUUAGCAGAUACAAACUUUUAUAUAUAAAGAAGAUAAACAACAAGGUCCUAUUGUGUGUUGUAAUAAUCUAUAAUGGAAAAGAAUAUAUAUAACUCAAAUCACUUCUCUGUAAGCCAGAAGCUAACACAACAUUGUAAAUCAACUGUACUUCAGUUAAAAAGUUCAAGUGUAUACAAAUUUGAAAGUAAAUAGGUUAUCAUUACAUUUAAGGUAAUAGAUACGCAAAUCUCUCCAUAACCUAAUGUCUACACACUUGAGGUUAUUCACGUCUGUUGUACUGUGUGGUAGAAACACUGUAUAAUGGUGUGCUCCUGAAGGGUGAUGGGAGUAUUUACAGCGAGGUAGUUGACUGCAAAGUAGGGGUUGGUUUACUUGUUGAUUGUCUAAACUGAAGAAAGUGAUAGGUGAAAUCUUAAUAUGGAUUAAGCUUAAAAAUGUGUUAUGUGUCUUAACUACUAGACGCUAUCCUGUAUGAAAAAUUGAGGAAAUCUUGCAGUAUUUGAAAACUGUUCAUUGAUCCAACAAAAGUGUUGAUAUAUCAUUGAUGAAUGAGUGGAGUUCUGAGAUAUAUAUUUUUUAGCUUUCUUCUUAAUCAUGUACAUGAAAAUAUCAACCAUUUUUCACAC
rnacentral:lncRNA from 1 species